GAUGAAGAACGUAGCGAAAUGCGAAAAGUAAUGUGAAUUGCAGAAUUCAGUGAAUCAUCGAAUCUUUGAACGCACAUUGCGCCCGCUGGUACUCCGGCGGGCACGCCUGUCCGAGCGUCAUUUCAACCCUCAAGCCCUCCUUCGGGAUGGGCCUGGUGUUGGGGCUCGGCCGCCAUCUCCGGCGGCCGUCCCCUAAAUACAGUGGCGGUCACGUCGCGACUCCUUUGCGUAGUAGAAACACCUCGCUCCGGAUAGCAACGCGGUCCACGCCGUAAAAUCCCCAAUUUUCAAUGGUUGACCUCGGAUCAGGUGGGAAUACCCGCUGAACUUAAGCAUAUCAAUAAGCGGAGGA
rnacentral:misc_RNA from 1 species